rnacentral:misc_RNA from 1 species
AACGCACCUUGCGCUCCCUUGGUAUUCCGAGGAGCAUGCCUGUUUGAGUGUCAUGAAAUUCUCAACCCACCCUGCUUUUUGUAGUGGGGUUCGGGCUUGGAUUUUGGGGGUUUUUCUUGCUGGUCAACUCUCCUCGAUCGGCUCCCCUUGAAGGCAUUAGCUUGGGACCACUUUGCCUCCCGGUCAGUUCACGGUGUGAUAGUCUAUCAGCACUUGUGAGGCCCGUGGAUUGGCAAUGUUCAUGUGGUCCGGCUCUCCAAAGAGAUGUGUAAACCUCCCUUAAAUCUGACCUCAAAUCAGGUAGGACUACCCGCUGAACUUAA